AUGGUGCCCAAAAAAGGAGGACCCUUACCCUAGGGCAAGAUGGAGGGCCUAGCCCAUACCCUGGGGCAAGAUAGAGGGCCUAGCCCUUGCCCUUUCA